rnacentral:rRNA from 1 species
GACGAACGCUGGCGGCGUGCUUAACACAUGCAAGUCGAGCGGUAAGGCCCUUUCGGGGGUACGACGAGCGGCGAACGGGUGAGUAACACGUGGGUGACCUGCCCUCAGCUCUGGGAUAAGCCUGGGAAACCGGGUCUAAUACUGGAUAUGACUCCAUGACGCAUGUUGGUGGGGUGGAAAGCCUUGUGCGGCUGAGGAUGGGCCCGCGGCCUAUCAGCUUGUUGGUGGGGUGAUGGCCUACCAAGGCGACGACGGGUAGCCGGCCUGAGAGGGCGACCGGCCACACUGGGACUGAGAC